GGAGGGUGCAAGCGUUAAUCGGAAUUACUGGGCGUAAAGCGCACGCAGGCGGUCUGUCAAGUCGGAUGUGAAAUCCCCGGGCUCAACCUGGGAACUGCAUUCGAAACUGGCAGGCUUGAGUCUUGUAGAGGGGGGUAGAAUUCCAGGUGUAGCGGUGAAAUGCGUAGAGAUCUGGAGGAAUACCGGUGGCGAAGGCGGCCCCCUGGACAAAGACUGACGCUCAGGUGCGAAAGCGUGGGGAGCAAACAGGAUUAGAUACCCUGGUAGUCCACGCCGUAAACGAUGUCUACUUGGAGGUUGUGCCCUUGAGGCGUGGCUUCCGGAGCUAACGCGUUAAGUAGACCGCCUGGGGAGUACGGCCGCAAGGUUAAAACUCAAAUGAAUUGACGGGGGCCCGCACAAGCGGUGGAGCAUGUGGUUUAAUUCGAUGCAACGCGAAGAACC
rnacentral:rRNA from 1 species